rnacentral:misc_RNA from 1 species
UCUCCGUAGGUGAACCUGCGGAGGGAUCAUUACAGAGUUCAUGCCCUAACGGGUAGAUCUCCCACCCUAUGUUAUCAUCACUUUGUUGCUUUGGCGGGCCGUCAGGCCUCGGCUUGGCUACCGGCUCUCGCUGGUAAGCGCCCGCCAGAGAACCCCAAACCCUGAAUAUCAGUGUCGUCUGAGUACUACAUAAUAGUUAAAACUUUCAACAACGGAUCUCUUGGUUCUG